UUGUGCAACUAUUUUUUUCCAAGCCCGUAUCUGCAUGUUUAGUAGGAAGCAAUAUUUUAAACCAGUCUUCCACCACCCUCUGAAAGUGGGGCCAAAGCAAUGCAUGCUCUUAAGUGCAGGGAAGUCACAUCAGCAUCCCAGCAAUGCCACCAAACCCUAAGGUAGAUAAUAUUGAAAGCAAUGGCAAAAACCGCAAUUACGUUUGCACCAACCUAAUACUUGAGUCUUAGAAAUGGUUGGUUCUACCAUCAUAGUACAAAUAUCAUAGGGGUUAAUGGCCUUGCCAAAGAAGGUUGUGGGUUAUCAUCCAAUGAAAUCAGGCCAUUUUCCACUCAAAAUCUCAUUUUCUAUACUUGGCAAAUCAUACUCCCGUUAGUUUAUUCUUACACCUCACAUAAUCAUCAGAAGUUGAAUGCAUGUGAAAUUGCGUGAAGCACAAAUAAUUUAUUAAAAGAAACAGCUUAAACAGUCCUACUUAACUCCUGGUCAACGAAUGCAGGAGGCACUGAAGUAAAGAAGGCUUGCUAAACAGACGAAGGUGAAAUUGUGGUAAUAAACUCUCUUUCAACUCCGUCUGGAGUUCAUAUUCCUCUUUGGCAUUCCCUGAAGCUGAAUGACUGAGGAACUUCCUUCCUCUACUUUUCAUGUUUUCUUCUGAGGGCAAGUUGCACGCAUAAGAAAACUUCAGUGUCAGCUACCGCGCUACAUGGGAGGUCUCUGGGAUUAACCUCCCCGACUCUUCUGAGACCAAACUGGGUAAACCAGCACGAUCAUUUGACCAUGAUGACAAAAGGACUCUACCCAGCCUCCUUGGCAACUCUCUUUGAAUCAGUAAAGGAAUUAGAUUAUCUCCAGAAGCAAAGGAAAUGUAAAGAAAUGGACAGGUUACUUUCAGGAUUAAUUCCAGUGGCCUCAUUAAUCGCACUCCUGUGGACUCUCUUGGGCCCAUCAAUGCUUUUCUGGGCUGAGCCACAAAGAACCCAGCCAUGUGACUGGUGCUUGGGCAGCAGCCAAAAUCCUUCCUGGCCCUGGCACAUGGGUGAGCCCCAGGCAUCAAUCAAGCCCUGUUGCUAUCUCAUUUGGCACUCCGCUUUCCAAGGACAAUUUCAUCCUGGGGACAAGGCUGGGUCAGGCAUAGGAAUCCCAGCUCUUCUGUUUUUCCCUUCUGGGUAGAAUACAAGAUGUACCAGUUCAGAGCGCGAAGGACAGUGUGGGACAGCAGGCUGAGGGUGGCACAGAGAAUGGUACAUGUAUCUUCUGUGCGCCAGAUGAUUCAGCUUCACUGCAAUUCUAUGCUUGAGUUCUUUAGUACAGAAUCCCUAAACUUCCAUCACAGAUUUAAUUUUUUGAAUUAUUUGUAUGCAUGUAGUCUAACACGUAUCUGUUUGUUUUGGAUGAUCACAUAACAGCAAUAAUCCACCUUUAAUUGUUCUACUUAAUGCUCUCAUCUUUAGGCAAAUGGAUUAAAAAAUGUUUCUCUAUAUAAUUAUUCUUAAAAAUUAUUCUUAUAAAGAUCUUGAAAAUGAUACCCAGAGGAGAAACAACCUAUAAUUGGAAAAGCGUUAUUAUUCAUACAAGUAAUUCACUGUUUAAGAAUACUCAUUCACAAAAGGCAUUACCAAAAAAAUUUACAAGUCCAAAAACUUGGGGAAAACAAGGGAGGAUUUGAGGGUGUGGCUGAGUGUAACUCUCUCCUUUUUCUCCUGGGGGCAGCUGAUCUUUCCGUUUGCUAAUUCACUAAGGAGAGGCUAAGCACCAGUAUUUUCCAUCUUCAUCACCUGCAGGUUGAUCCAUCAUUUGUUAUUCUUAUUACAAAAGGGCAUAUAUAAAAUUCAACUUAGUAAAAUAAUUUGGCAUUUGUUAUAAGACUAUUUCCUUGUCUAUGCCUUAGAAGAUCCUGGAACACAUGAGAGAUUUGUCAACUCGUUCAACUAACAUCGAUCAAGCUCCUACAAGACACCAGGCCACGUAUCGGGGAUAGAAAAUAGAAAGACAAAAUCUCUGUCCUAAAUAUACUAGGAUAAUAGGAUAAGGGGAAUGGGAGAAAAUUAAGGAGCCAAUUUUCCCGCAAUACAGUUAUUGCUACGAUAGGGAUUUGCAAAGCUGUCCUAUGGGAACAUACGGAGAGACACCUCACCUGGAUUCCGAAGGUGACAGAGAGGGUGGGAAGAGUGCAGAGAGGAAUUCUAGGAGUACGUGACACUUGUUCUAAUUCUUAGCAUAUGAGUAGUGAUUAGCUAGCUUGAGAAUAGGUGGGAUAGGGGCCUAAAUUCUAACAUAAUGCAUGUUUGUGGGCCUGGAGGGUACAAAGGGCACAGAACUGCAAAUACUUUGUUAUGUCUGGACCAAGACAGGAGGCUGGGAAGGCAGGCUGGGAUUCAAUCCAGAGAAACAAAUAAGAAUGGAGUCUCAUGCCCAUGAGUCUAGUAACCAACCCCAGUGAGAGGACCCACUUGAUCACUCAACUCGGCACCCAAUUUCUAGUCAGAGUGACUGGGUACAAAACAGAGGUCACGUGCAUGCUGCCAGAGAUUACCACCAUGUUCACCAGUUCCAGAACGAACCAGCUACAAAAGACAAAAUUGUUACUAUUUGAUGAAGAAACGGAAAAUUUUCACAGAACGUGGUGUUCUCUAUUUGGCUAUCACAGGGUAUCUGGUGAAACGUUUCUUGCUAGAAAAAGAUAUAAACAUAACCACAGGCUGAGAAACAGGCCCCUGGGUCAGACUAUGGGCCCCUGGGUCAGACUAUGAGCCACUGAGGCAGGGGGGGUUCUAUCUCUGAGAAAAGGGAACCAGCAUGAUUUUGUGUGACAGUAUGACAGUGUCCCAUCGUUAGUUUCAGGGUUAUAUUCAGCUAUUAAGGAUCUGGUUCCAUUUUUUUAAGUUCACAUAGUGAUUUACGUUUUCAACGAGACUAACUUAAAGUUCCAUAAAUAAUUAAAACAUAUAUAGUCUAACACACAAACCUUUCUUCAUAUAUCAUAGACUACUUUGUCCAUAAGGAUAUUUCUUUUCUUUUCUUUUUUUUUUGAGACAGG
rnacentral:lncRNA from 1 species